AGCAUGCGGGCUCAAUGGGUGCUCCAAUGUGUGUGAAAUCUUCCUAGACCAGAUAUCAAACUUGUGUCCCCUGCAUUGGCAGAUGGAUUCUUUACCACUGAGCCACCAGGGAAGCCCCUGGGCUACUUUUUGUUGCUGGAUACCAGGGGCAGGUCACAUUUCUUGUGUCCUUGCCAAAACCCUGAGAGUUGGAUACUCCUUCUUCCUCCGUUUUGUGGAUGAAGAACCUGAGGCUCAGAAAGGUGAAGGAGCUUGUCCAAGGUCACAUCGUGGUGGAGACAGGAUCCAGACCUAGGUCUGUCUGUAGAAGAGCCAGAGCCACGGUAAUGUUGGGGAUGCUGGCAUUGCUGGUAGUAACAGCCACCUGUGGUUACUGAGGCCUGUGAGCACCUGAUCAGGUGGGCAUCGGUGUUACUUAACAGGGAAGGACCCUGAGGCUCAGAGAAGUCAGUUAAGUUGCUCAAGGUCAUGGAACCAGAAAGCAAUUUCUGUCCCUGUAACGAUUCCCUGCUGAUGCUAGUUCGGUUGGUGGCUGUGCUGUGCUGAGUACCCAGCAUCCCUGGAGGGAGGAUGCGAGGGGCCCUGUGAGCCUGUGUGGUCCUCCAACAGACAGCCCCUCUGCCCUCACACUGGAUGGGCUGCCCCUUGGAGUUCCGGAGGUGAAUUAGAUUGGGAUGGGGUAGCCUCAAAGCAUGGUGAGCUCUCAGGACCUUUCUUGUGUUGGCGUGUGUCAGACCAGGAGCCUGUGGGGUUGGGGGUGGUUUUUAGGCUUUUCUAUACUCUGCAGGCUCUGAGCAGGUGGUGAUUCACAUUGGCAAUUCUCCUGGUGAACCCCUUUCUCUGGCCCUUAGAAUUGUAGCUCUACACUUCAGCCACUCACCCCCUUGCUUCUUAGAAUCUCAUUGCCCCCAGACCUCAGUGAGUUCUAGAACUCUCAAAUAAGGGGUGCUUCCCUCAAGCCACACAGUCAGGUCCCCUUUGGGUGGGGGGGUAUCCUCCCUGGGAAGACAGAAAAGCCUACCAAGCUUUGGGUCAGAGUUAGGUUCAAAUCCAUAACUGCCCUGCACAAAGUAUGGAGCCCAUAGGUUCUGUAACCUCUCGAGCCACUUUUUUUAUCUGUAAAAUGGGGAUCCUGGUCGGGGGUGUGCCCUCAGUGGCUGACUUUGGCUCCAAUCUUCCCAACUUUGCCUUCAGGGACAUCAGGUUGAUAGCUUGAAAUCAGCUGUGGUGGGGCAGAGGGGGUGGGCAGGGGUUGUAUUUACACCAUGGACUGAGGCAGAUGCUACAGUUGUCUCAUCUGUGAAGCCAGGAUAAAGACAGCUGUCUUGGGACUUCCCUGGUGGUCCAGUGGAACAUCUCCAGAUGUGUUAAUGAACAAGACCCAGCAGGCUCCUGGAGAUGGAGUUGUGCCAAACAGUAUGUCCAGAUACGGAGGAAGAAGCCCAGAAGCCCAUGAUGUUUCUGAUGUCACACACCCUGAAGCCACAUUUUGGAAUGAGCUGUUCUGUCCUUCUCUGUGGGAGGACUGUCAGUGAAGUCACAGCACAGUCAGAACCCACUUUCUAACAUCGUGAGAAAGAACCAUUCCAGGAAACAGGUGUCCAGAGUGGGCCUGGUACUCUAAUGCCUGUCACAACCUCCUUCCUUACAGGCGCACCACUGUGUCUGUUCUUGGCCCUCCUGGCCAUGUUCCUCACCCAGCAGCAGCCAGAGGGCCUCUGGGGAGGGGAGGAUCGCAGCACCCGAAACACCCCCCUCAGAGCUUCUUGUCCUCCUCUGCCCCCUACUGCCUUCACUCAUUGCUGGGCUGGUUUCAUCUCGAACAUCCACCGCCACAUUCCUGCCUUGCACAUAAGCCCUUCCCUUGGCCAGAAAUUCUCUUCCGUCUGUUUUUCCCGUGCCUGCUUUCUUCUCGUUGAGAGCUUAGCUUCAUUGUCAUCAUAGAGGCCUUCCUUGACUGUCCUGCUGGAGAAGGGCUGCUGCACCCUGUUCCUCUCCUCUGGCCCUCCCUGGGCUGUUGUGUUUUCAUUUGGGAACUUGAUGGUCCUCCUCCCUGGACAGAGUGAGCUCCGUGAGGGGAGGGGCACAGGUUGCUAGCAGCUCCUGCUGGUCUGGACACUUCUCCGUGGUGGGCUCCGAUCACCUGUUCUCCAGCCUGUCUCCAUUUUUUUUUUGCCCUUGGCUGUCCUGGGUCUUUGUUGGGGCACCUGGGCUCUCUAGAUGCAGUGAGUGGGCUGGUUGCCCCGAGCCAUGUGGUAUCUUAUUUUCUGAACCUAGGUCCUCGGCAUCGGAAAGUGGAUCCUUAACCACUGACCACCAGAGAAGUCCUCCAUUGCCUAUUUACUAGUGCAUUCCUUCUGACAGUUUUUUUUCUUCUUUGUACCUAUUGUGUGCCAGGAAUACUGGACUGGAGGAACCUUCAUCCUCUACCUUCAGGGUCUCUUCAUCUAAGCCAAAGCCUUCUGGGAAGGGAGGAGCUCAGCUUGGGCAGAGGUCUGGAAGCCAGGCUGAGUGGUUGUGUGAUGAGUGGUAAGGCUGAUCAGGCCAGGCUUUGCAACGACAUCUGUGGACUCACUGGUGAUGGAGGUCCUUUUUCCUGUUGAUAUUACCCAAAAGCUUAACUUUCAGAGAGCAGUUUAUUGAGUCCUUGGAGGGCGCUCCCACUGUGGUGUGUGUUAUAUAAAUGUGUGAGAGUAGUGGUUCCUUAUUACUGACAACUGUGUUGUGGGUGGUGUUGGGCACUCCCCGCUCCCACUCCCAGUCCAGUGGUUAGAGACGGGCCAGGAGCCUCUCAGUCCUCUGGGGGAUAAAGGGCCUCUCAGUAGCUUGUGGUGACUGGCAGGCUGGCACAGCCUUGCCCCUGUCCCUGCUCUAACCAGUCUCUUAUGUAAGCAGAGCUCAUGGGCCAUUCAGGCAGCCCAGGAGACUGCAGAGUUUGUGCAGUCUCGGGGUCUUCUGAAUUCUUGUUUUCCUCUUUAAAAGGACCAGGGAGCAAUGGCUGAGGACCGUGCCCAUUGUGUGAGGGGCCUGAGGGAAGGUGCCUGUCCUUUGGGUGAGACUGGGUCUUUCAAGCUGGUGGGGAGGGCAGUGGUAAACAAUCUGCUUGCCAAUCACAUGGGAGACGCAGGUUUGAUU